UGAAUGAUUACAAAAGUGGAAGAGUUGGUAACCCGGCGGAAAUAAACAACUUGGGAGUUCCCGUGCUUGCUCGGGGGGAUCCAAACUUCGUGCUAUCCUUUUUUGUCGUUUUCCUCCUCCACGUGACUGUUGUUGGCAGUUGAAUGCGAGGCAGGCAGAUUUCCGCUGUACACAGCAGGUUAACGUGUGCCUUGGCGCACAGGUAUGCGGUCGGCGGAAGGGAGGCCAGCGGACGCAAAAGCUGCACACCUCCGCCUUCACCACCUAGGCAAGACGAAGAAUGAGCGUGUGCGAUAUAUAAAUCGGUUUUAGUAUCGUAGUUUAAUGAUUGUAUUGAAAUGACGUACGACACGAUGGGUUGCAUCCCUGUGCGCACAUCUUCAAUGGGGAUUGUUACCGGAGCAACGGAGCAACAGCUGCUCCAGAAGCGCAUGUCUGACAUCAACGUAUUGGUACCCCGUUCAGUUGCAAGACAUGCUCAUCCUUGCAUGCGUCCCCACGCAGCCGCAACCCUCACGUGGCGCUCCUUGGCGCCCAGAGUGAGGACGGCAACGGCCACGUCCACGGGCAGGGGAACGGCUAAUAAUGGCACAUGGCGACCUGGUGGCUCAGGCACCUCCGCGGACCUCCCUGGUUCUCAGGAACUAAAUCUCAGGAACUAAAUCUCAGGAACUAAGUCAGAUUCGGAUGAAAAAAGAAUAUGUACGUGUCCACAAUUAAAAGAUCUACAUGUUGACAUACGGCUAAUUAAGCAGCCCCUCGCACAAAUGUGUCCGGUCGUACUUCGCGAAUAAAGUGUUCGUACAUCGUCCUAAAAAAGCCAGGAGCGAAUUUUGCCGCGCAGAUGCGCGCGUGCGAUUCACAAAAUGCGCCUGUACAAGUGUAUAUAAAUUUUCUUGGCGGAUGAGGACCACGUGCGCCAGCGCGUUGCGCAAGUGGGCAUGUUGGCCAUAGCCGCACGCGGCAUGCAUGCUGGACUAUUGCCUGGAUGCUUUGCAGUAACUGAAAGCACCCAAUGCCAACGCCCUAGCUUGCAACUCUGGGCUCGUGAAACUACCGCGGAAGAUGAAGCGCUGGCGAAGAGGCAGUUGUAUGCAGCACCUUGUUCAGAGUAAAGUCAAAUUACAAAGUUGCGCAAAGUAUAACAUACAUAAACUUAAUUAAACAUAAGAACAGAUAAGACGUUUAGAGCCUUGUCGGUGACAUGGACGCCGCUGUUGGCUUGGAACAGCUAUUUGCUGUGCAUAGGGACGUGCCCGCGUUAGCCGUGUUGCAACAGCUCAGGAUGGAUUUCAGCCAGCAACAGCCUCAAGAGCUGCUGCACAACCACCGGGAAUGUCUUCAGUUGGGCACGUGU
rnacentral:lncRNA from 1 species